rnacentral:rRNA from 1 species
AUACGGAGGAUGCAAGCGUUAUCCGGAAUCAUUGGGUUUAAAGGGUCCGUAGGUGGACAGAUAAGUCAGAGGUGAAAUCCCACGGCUCAACCGUGGAACUGCCUUUGAUACUGUUUGUCUUGAGUCGUUGUGAAGUGGUUGGAAUGAGUAGUGUAGAGGUGAAAUUCGUAGAUAUUUGGAGGAACACCAGUGGCGAAGGCGGCUCACUGGCUCGAUACUGACGCUGAGGUGCGAAAGUGUGGGGAGCAAACAGGAUUAGAUACCCCUGUAGUCCUGGCCGUAAACGAUGAACACUAGGUGUCGGGGGAAUCGACCCCCUCGGUGUCGUAGCCAACGCGUUAAGUGUUCCGCCUGGGGAGUACGCACGCAAGUGUGAAACUCAAAUGAAUUGACGGGGCCCGCACAAGCGGUGGGGCAUGUGGUUUAAUUCGAAGCAACGCGAAGAACCUUACCUACACUUGACAUCCAGAGAACUUUCUAGAGAUAGAUUGGUGCCUUC